rnacentral:rRNA from 1 species
UACGUACGAGGCGAGCGUUAUCCGGAAUUAUUGGGCGUCAAGCGCGCGCAGGCGGACCGUUAAGUAGGGCGUGAAAUCUCCCGGCCUACCUGGGAGGGGUCGCUCUAAACUGGCAGUCUUGAGGACAGCAGAGGUAGGUGGAAUUCCUGGUGUAGUGGUGAAAUGCGUAGAGAUCAGGAGGAACACCGGUGGCGAAGGCGGCCUACGGGGCUGUCUCUGACGCUGAGGCGCGAAAGCUCGGGGAGCGAACGGG